rnacentral:ncRNA from 2 species
AGCUCAUCCAGAGGGGCAGAGGGAAACGGCCCGAUGAAGCCCCGGCAACCCUCCAGCCGGUUCUCGUAGAUCACCGUCGAUCGACGAUCCAGCAGCGCACCGCGCGGUGGAUCGCGCACGUGUCGCUGAUCGUUCUCGCGAGGCUCCCGGCUAGGGAAGGUGCCAAAUCCGUCUCACGGCGAGAUGCGUCGUGAGGAAGAUGAGGA